CUAGAAUGAUUCUGUAUGCAUGAAUAAUAAUACUAAAACUUUGACUAUGUAUUAUGACGCUAUUUAUUUCUUUAUUUAUUCAUUUAUAUUUGAAAAUACAUGCAUGAAUAGCACAAUAGGACCUUAGGUGUAUGGGAGGAAUAUCACCCCUUUUUUUUCCCCCCCUUAAUAAUCUACUCUAAUUUAUUCUUCACUUGCAUGAACUUUAUACUUACCUGAUGUUGGCACUUGUCCUCUUAUUGUCAUUUGUUCUGCAUGGAAAAGGAAGUACAGUCAACUCCCGUCCCAGUCCAGCUCAGUCACGUUCCUGCCCCAGUCCAGCUCAGUCACGUUCCUGCCCCAGUCCAGCCCAGUCACGUUCCUGCUCCAGUCCAGCCCAGUCCCGUGCAGGUCUUGUCCCAGCCAGAGGUCACCACCUGUCGAACAAGUGCUAUGCACACCCGAUCAGGCCCGACGUCUGCUCCGUCGAGCUCGGCAGCGGCAAGUAGCCAUGCCAGCUCCAGAGGAGACGCCGUUUCAGUCCCUGCCGGCUCCUGUGAGGAGCCUGAGGGCAGCGCCGCCGGCUCCUGUGAGGAGCCUGAGAGCAGCGCCGCCGGCUCCUGUGAGGAGCCUGAGAGCAGCGCCGCCGGCUCCUGUGAGGAGCCUGAGAGCAGCGCCGCCGGCCCUAGUAAGGACGCCGCUUCUGUUCCUGUCGGCCAAGUUGAGGCCGUUCCUGUUGGCCAAGCUGAGGCCGUUCCAGUCCCUGUCGGCCAAGUAGAGGCCGUUCCAGUCCUUGUCGGCCAAGCUGAGGCCGUUCCAGUCCCUGUCGGCCAUGUUGAGGCCGUUCCAGUCCCUGUCGGCCAUGUUGAGGCCGUUCCAGUCCCUGUCGGCCAUGUUGAGGCCGUUCCAGUUCCUGUCCCAGUCCCUGUCGGCCAUGUUGCGGCCGUUCCAGUUCCUGUCCCAGUCCCUGUCGGCCAUGUUGCGGGCGUUCCAGUCCCUGUUCCUGUCGGCCAUGUUGCGGGCGUUCCUGUUCCUGUCGGCCAAGCUGAGGCCGUUCCUGUUCCUGUCGGCCAAGCUGAGGCCGUUCCUGUUCCUGUCGGCCAAGCUGAGGCCGUUCCAGUCCCUGUCGGCUGAGGC
rnacentral:lncRNA from 1 species